GACGAACGCUGGCGGCGUGCUUAACACAUGCAAGUCGAACGGAAAGGCCCUGCUUUUGUGGGGUGCUCGAGUGGCGAACGGGUGAGUAACACGUGAGUAACCUGCCCUUGACUUUGGGAUAACUUCAGGAAACUGGGGCUAAUACCGGAUAGGAGCUCCUGCUGCAUGGUGGGGGUUGGAAAGUUUCGGCGGUUGGGGAUGGACUCGCGGCUUAUCAGCUUGUUGGUGGGGUAGUGGCUUACCAAGGCUUUGACGGGUAGCCGGCCUGGGAGGGUGACCGGGCCAGAUGGGGCCGGAGACGCGGCCCGCACCCCGGCGGGGGGCAGAGGGGGGAAUUAUGGAACAAGGGGGGGAGGCCGGACACAGCACCGCCGGGGGCGGGAGAAGGGCUUGGGGUUGGAAAACCGCUUCCCCUGGGAAAAAGGGGGGAGGGAGGGAAAGGGGAAAAGAGACCCGGGCUAACUAGGUC
rnacentral:rRNA from 1 species